rnacentral:rRNA from 1 species
UGGGGAAUAUUGCACAAUGGGCGCAAGCCUGAUGCAGCCAUGCCGCGUGUGUGAAGAAGGCCUUCGGGUUGUAAAGCACUUUCAGCGAGGAGGAAGGGUUCAGUGUUAAUAGCACUGUUCAUUGACGUUACUCGCAGAAGAAGCACCGGCUAACUCCGUGCCAGCAGCCGCGGUAAUACGGAGGGUGCAAGCGUUAAUCGGAAUUACUGGGCGUAAAGCGCACGCAGGCGGUUUGUUAAGUCAGAUGUGAAAUCCCCGCGCUUAACGUGGGAACUG